rnacentral:tRNA from 1 species
GGUAAAAUGGCUGAGUUAAAGCAUUAGACUGUAAACCUAAAGACGGGGAGUGCUCCCCUUUUGCCA